rnacentral:ribozyme from 11 species
AAGGGGAGAAGGGAAAGAGGAAGGAAAAGGGAAAAAAAGAGGGACAGGUUCUUUAGUUCCAUCCAUACUCUUUUUUCGGUGACUUGGUGUCGCUGGUAGUUCUUUCUUUCUUGCUCGCUUGCUUGCUUUCUAUUUUCUGUUUGAUUUUUCUUUCUUCUUUUCUUAGUGAGUAUUCACCUUUCACGAAAGUGAACGAAGAAAUGGAGCCUGGGUCCGCGAGAAGAAGAACGAAAAAGAAAAGAGA